rnacentral:lncRNA from 1 species
AGUGAAUAAUACUAUAAAUGACUUUUUAAAAUAAAAUUUUCAUUUUUGUUAAAAAUAAACAAUAUUAAAAUUAUUUCAUUAAAACACCCUUAAAUUAAAGCUAACCUGCGAAAUAAUAAAAGAGUCCAAGAAAAAUCUCAGAUGGUCCAUUAGCAUUUCUCCUCCAAAUAGUAGUACACUACACACAAAUAGGUCAAAGAGAUGAGAAUAAGUUUGGAGUGAUACCUCACCCUUUUGAAAUCUGUGGCUGUUAAAGCAUCCAUAUCAUAUCACAUCA